UACGAAGGGGACUAGCGUUGUUCGGAAUUACUGGGCGUAAAGCGCGCGCAGGCGGCUAUCCAAGUCAGUGGUGAAAGCCCGGAGCUCAACUCCGGAACUGCCAUUGAAACUGUUUAGCUUGAGGACGAGAGAGGUGAGUGGAAUUCCCAGUGUAGAGGUGAAAUUCGUAGAUAUUGGGAAGAACACCGGUGGCGAAGGCGGCUCACUGGCUCGUAUCUGACGCUCAGGCGCGACAGCGUGGGGAUCAAACAGG
rnacentral:rRNA from 1 species